GAACAAAGAAAGUUUCAUCAGGAACUGAUUGCAAAAGCUGCCCCUUACCCAAGUGAGGCUGUGCCAAAGUCUCUAGUCUGAAAUGCUGAGAUAAGCACUGGUCAGGUGCAAAGAGAGAGAGAGAAGACAGUUUUACUGUUGUAGAAUUCCUGCUGUGCUGUGGCUCUUCAUCUCAUCGCCUUACGUUACUGCUCUAGCUGGAAGAAUAAAGCACCCUUCAGCUGCAUCUCUUUGCUGCCCCAAAAAAUAAAGACUGGAAAAAUAAUGCUGGACUCAUUCUGCCACCCUUUCCUGCCAGGAUUAGUGGAUAGAGUGUACUGAGAGGAUCAUUUGGCACGGUAGGGGACAAGAACUCUCAGGGUGAUGUCAACAAACUCUGGAAGGUGCAGAUCUGGAAAAAAUAAAAGAUGUAUUGAGACGCUCCUGUGAGAGGGCCAUGGUCAGGAAUGUGACUCUACUUGUUUUCUUAAUAUUCAGAGAAGGACAUUGUUGAUGUUAAAAAUAGUAACGAAUAAUCAUGACUACAAAGCCAAAAAAAACCAAAGAGAGAAGAUCCAGGAACCCUGAGUAUGUAAGUCUUCAAGUUUGGCUGGCAUUUGUUUAGCCUUUUUAUUUGGAUUUUUUAUUUGUAAUCAAAUGAAACUUUGAUGGAUCGGUUUCCAGCUAAGCUGACUUUACCUGAAAGGCUAACAAGCUUUUCAAACAAAACACUUUUUUUUUUAAUUGGAUUAUAAAGCUGUCUCCAGUGAUACUUUGCAGGAAUGAAGCAAUGUUAAAUGUUCAAGAGAGGCUUAGCCUUCAGAAUCUGGCAUUUUCAGAGGCCAAAAAAACCCUAGGCUUCUCAACUUUUUUUGUCUGUGUUUAUCUGUGGUUCAUUGACACCCCAGCUGGAGGCAUUUGGUCAUUCAGAUACCGUAAAAGAGAAGAAAAGUAGAACUGAUGUAAAAAAAUAUAUUCUGGCAGACCUUUUUCAUGUUCUUCCAGUCUGUGAAAUGAGGGAAUCCAUUAACAUCACUUUCCUACUUACUUGCAUCUGUAUUUCAGCUCCAUCGGCUUUGUUGGCUACAAGGCUAUUAGCACAGAGGAUAAAAUACAAGAGCAAAACAAGUAGCUCUUAGCAAAACCCUCCAAACCUGAGUGAUAUAAAUGAUGGAGAAAAUUUAUUAUCUGUGUUUGGUGAAAAGCUUAACAAGUGAAUAGCAGGGCUAUAGGGCCACAGAAAAGGAGAGGGAUGGUUCUGCAGGGGUUUUGUACUGAAGUGCAAGCAAAUGUAUGCAGCCUAGAUUAUAGUAUUUACCACCAAUGCCUCGAGGGUUAAGCCUCUUGUCAGCUAAUUAUGAGCAUCCUCUGUGUUGCUCUGGAAAUUGCACAGCUGCAAAGUGUGACUCUGGAGCCCUGCUGCCCAUGCAACAGAGGUGUGGAGAGCUGUACCUCCCAGCCUGCAGUCCUAUCCAUGCCUCUCGUCUUACAGAAGAAGGCUAGCUUCUAUUCUUAUUCUUUCUAAAAAAUCGAACUAGUUUUGUUAUGCUAUAUGUAUAUUAUUGUUGUUAUUAAACUGUUUCAUUAUGUAUUUUUAAUUAUACUCAAAGACAUGAACACUGUUGGUGAUCAACCAUAUGAACAGCUAUGAGAGUAAGUGACACUGAAGAAAUACCCUGGGAGGUGGUAUGUUGUGGUUUGUCAUGUGUGCCUGUAACUUGACUAUUUUGGCUAGAAAAGGAGCGUUUGUCACAGUAAAAUGAAGCCCUUGGUAAUGUCAAAAACAGUCUUGUUAGAUGUCUGUGGAAUCUAGGCUUCCAAUUCACAGUCAGGUGCCACUGGAAGGUGGCACAAGAAGUACCUGAAGUAAUGCCAACCCAAGCUUGUCUAUUCAUAAACAGUGCCUUCGCGCAGAACUGCGUGCUUGGAUCCAAAAUCAAGGUAGCUGCAUUGGAGAAAUGCUGCAUCCUAUCACAUAUCUCGUGGUAGUUAGGGUGCUGCUUAGCAUGGGUAUGGCAGCACCACUUAAUCCCUCUGAAUUCUGCUGCCUCAGGUAUCUGUGCUCUGUUUCAGCAGUUCAUGGGGACCAACGUAAGCAAGCAAGGUGCCCGAGACAUGCGCUGCUGUUCAACAAGAUGUACUCCUUGGCACUUUCACUAUAAUCUCAUGAAGCAAUUUUUCUUACAGUCCUACUUGCUUUAGAUAGAAAACUGGUUCUACGGGAGUCAGGGAGUCCAUUUGAAAAGUCUGAGUAGGAGGAAGGUUUUAGCAAAUAAAUUUGGAUGAAGAAAAUCCCCAGGUCCGGUGUUAAUUAUUAUUAACACAGAAAACCACAGAUAUAUAACACUUGCUCAUUGCCUUCCCACUUUUGUGGUUGUAAAUGAGUCUUACGGUUGUACUGAAUACUCUGAAGUUUCCAUCAAACAUUGGCCCGCACUUACUGAAGCUGUCAACACCCUGUCCCACCAGUGUCAACGGAAUUGUACAGUUUGAUUCUGAUUUUGGCAAUUGGGUAUAAUAUAAAUUCAGCAUAGUGAUGAAUGUAGCACAAGUCUAACAGAAAUCUAAUUAUUUAUGUUUCUGAAUGUGAAUAAAUAGGCUAAAAAUGGAGGUUUGGGGUUGAGUAUCAUAUAUUUGCAUGACUAUACAUUUUUAUAGGCUUACAGGUGGGGCAAGAAAUUCUCAUAUCUAGGCCUACAUAUAUUAGUAUUUCUUAAUCAGCAUUACAGUGUACAAAGCUGGUAAAAGCAUCUACUUAAAGUUUUAACGUUACUUCUGGCAUAACUGUAACUGCUUUAGAAUACAUGCCGAACUGUAGCAGUAGUUAAAAUAAAUACGAAAAAAGUUCGCAUACAUAGAUCCGGAGCAAUAGGUGUAGCUCCUUAGAGCCCAAAGCUGACACAACCUCUUUCAGGUUCUUUUAAAAAUACCAGCAAUACACUACAAAAAAUCCAACCUAGAAACUUGACCUAAUGGGAAUGGUGAAGCAGUACUACCCUUUGUAUUGCUGUUAGUCUGUUAGGCUUUUUUUUAAAAAACCUAAAAAGUUCCAGUGCUGUGAAAAGAUGAAAACAGUGGAGUUAGAGAAAACAUGCAUAUUUUAGGAUGUCUUUAUUUUAAACCCACUCUUCCUCUCACUUCUUUGAAGUCAAGUAAUGUUGCUUAGGUUUGGCUUGUUUUUCGAUCUUCACUGUACAGAAUGUAAUCUUCUGAUUACUCAAAAAGGAAAGAACUUCUUAACUACUGCUGCAGCAUGUGUUUUAUGCAGUUAGCCAUUUUUCUAAGACUGGCAUUUCUUCAUGGAUAGGAAAUGUCUAAUUUGUACUCUUUUUUUUUUUUUUUUUUUUUUUUUUUUUUUUAUUUUGGCUUGCAAUCAUAGAGCAUUGGCUUGUAAUCUCCUCAUACCUUGCAAGCUAUUUGUCACUAGAGGCAAAGCUGAGGUUUCUGUAGCAUGUUCAAUCAACAGUUGAGCAACAGGGUAUCUUUCCUUUGCCAUGUUUUGCAUGCCCUUAGGUUUGGGGCACUGUUACGUGCUUCCUUCUUGUGAUCUGGACAUAAAUCAGAGUUCUUAACUGUUUAGUAUGUUUAAAUAUCCCAUGAAAUUUCUUUCCUGAACUGUGUAAUUCAAGAGUCAACACCCAAGCUUUCUUCACCCCAGUGAUAACUGCUGAUGUUCGCAAAGCACUGUGCAUCAUCCUAGCUGAACUCUCCAAGACAAGCGAGCGUGGUACAAGGCACUAAUGUGGCUGCAACACAAGGACACCUGGAGAGUAUUGCUGCUGCAGGAUGGCACUGUCUCCAGGCUAAUUGCAGUGUCCUCUCUGCAGCACUGCCUAGGUGAUACUCUUACUCUUUUUCGGUUCUGGAGACGGCUUGGCAGUAGGUCAACAAACCUAAAGACUGAUUCCAUUGGGCACAUAAAUAUAUCUCAGACCUCCAUAAAGGUUAUUGGUAGACAGCAAGCUCAGACUGCAGUCCAGCCUACAUCGUAAUUGGGAACAUGGUGGGUUUUUUCCCCUCAUUUUCUUCUCCUUCUUGAGGGGUCAUCCUUUAAUAUUCAUAGUGCUUUGCUGCUUCUGUGUUGUGGCCUUACCCCACUGCUUUCGCUCAGGAAGCCCCAUCAUCUCAAGGAGAAGACUCACCACUGCAAUGUCCAAAAUCAUCAAGUCCUUCAACGUAGUCCAGUGGACAGGAAAGAUGCUUAUCACUGCCUUCUGGGAGCUCAAGAUGCUGAGAUUAUUUACCUAACAUAACCCAUCAGUCUGCAGGGGUCACGGUGUACUGAUUUAGUUCAGAAAAUGGGUUUAGGGAAAGAAUUCAAAUGAGCAGAUGUUUUUUAGGCUUUAAUUAGCAGAGAAAAAAGCUGGUUUUGUGGGAGUACUGUGAUAUGUCGCUACCUUCUGAUUACCUUCUGGAAGAGCAAGUCUCUCUCCAUUGAUUGUGAUUGACUGGAAACUAGCAAGAGUAAGCUUGCAAGGCUAAAGCUAGCUGUCUCGGUGCCUGUCUUGGUUACACAUUCUCAGGUUUGUACAGAGUUUGUCUGAUAAACAUUUUAACACAAGCAUGCAGCCAUGUGCUCUUCUGCAACUCCCAAUUGUUUCUCUCUUCUUUUUGGAUGACAAAUAUUCUUGCUGUGCCUUUCUGUCUGCUGCAUCUUCCAAAUUACCUCCAAGGCUUUCCGCAGUGAAGGUAUAUGUUGUCAGAACAAACCCUACAUAGUAAGAAACCUGUAAUUCUUUUGGCCUGAGUACAUUCAGCAUAAAGCUACAUGAAGAACUGGCCUAAUACCAGUACCUGAAGGUAGACUGGCCCAAGCUGAUGCAGACGGACUGCUUCCAGCACCUUCAUGUAUUGCUUAUUGCUUUUAUAGCUUUUUUUAUCCAUAGGUUGCAAGAUGUCCUUGUGUGGAGGUAAGUGAAAUACAGUUGUCAGGAAUGUGUAGGGAUUUUUUACAUUUUAUUUUAUUUUUUGUACUAUGACAAGACAGUGCCUAUUAUGCUAGUAUCUAUUUUGCUGAGCUUAGCCUCUGAAGAGACCAGUGGUAGUCCAGGCUGCCUAUGGUUAACAGAAAGCAGAACAAUCUAUUUUAGGUAAAGUGUUUUACGAAGGGGAAUUAAACAGCUUUUGGAGGUAUCCACAUUUUUCCAAUGACUAGAAAGGAACCUCGGUGUUUCUGUUGCUCUGGUGGCCAGAGGGUGUUUACAUCUUGGAGGAUGAAAGGAUGAGACCAAGGAACCAGCUCAAGAGACCUAUGGGAAUGUAACAACACCUCUGUGGUUAGGUCCUCUUCCAAUAAGGACUGCAAGCUGAAGUUAAGGAGUUACAGAUCAGUAGCUGUAUCUUACAACUAAAAUCCUCUUUUCAAACUGGGUAUUCAACAUGCAUUUACGUGUAACAACAAUAUCCUUUAUUUGUGUUUUAUGGAGUGGAAGCUUCUAGGAGGCAAUUUCCAGUGCUGAAAGGACUGGCUGAAAGCUUGCCCUCUUUUUCUCUUCAGGUCAAUAUUUUUCAAAUUUUCAAGAACUGCUUUUUCUUUGUAUUGUUGCCUAGCAUUUGGAUGAAUACUGGAUUGAGAAAUAUCUUCUUCUCCAGCAGGAAUAAGGGAUUUACAGAGAAGCUGCAUUUUUCUAAACAGAGGAAGUUAAGAUCAGCACUAGAAAGGUCAUGUACUUUCCUGUUGGUCUGUAUCACUAGAAAUGCCAGCUUUUAAUAAUGCCAUUAAGCUCCACAGAUCUCUGAGUUCUUUGGUGAUACUCAUCACAUCCGUAAGUACUUUUUACCUCUUCUUGGCAAUCUCUUAUUAUUCUUAUGAACAGUCACUAUCCGAUCCAAUCAGAUUUAAACUUCUGAAUCACAUGAAUGUAAAAGCAGUAGUGUUGAGAAAAGGGAUUUUUAAUGUGAAUUAAUGCUCAGAGAGAAGUGGAAUUAUCUUAGCGUUUGCUUAUGUGGCGAUGUGGAAUAUAUGGCGAGCAACAGCUUGAGGGAGGUGUUUCCAUGGAAGCAUCUCUUUAAAGUGUUGUCCUCAAAUUAACUCAGUGAGUCAGUCAGUAAAAGAGACGUGUUUAAGGUAAUGAUUGAAAUUGGAAACUCUGUUUUGCACAUCUGUUUGGUUUAGUUUUUUUAAAGCAUGUUAAGCUUUGUAUUUAGCUACAUUCUUCAUGUGGUACUGUAAUUACUGUCUAUAGCCAUUUUCUUUUUUUUCUCCUCCUUCCCUUCUUUGAAAUUCUGAUUUUUAAACUUUCGUUUAUUAUGACCUUUAUGUUUCGUUUGCCUAUAAGUAACUUUUUUUUUAAUCUCCUGAGCUUUGCUGUGACUUGCUAUUAUUAGGAUGCAAAAUUUCUUUCACACGUGGGCCCUCAAUUCUUUUCGCAUCUGGGCAACAAUAAAAAGGCUAUUGUUUGCUUUAUUUUCUGACCGCUAGGUGAAUAUAAGAUUUGUGUUUCUAAUCUUACCAUGUUUCCUUUGUAGUCUUACUCAACAGACAAUCAGUACUUGGUGUUAAACAUACAAAAUUUGGUAUGCUGAUUGCUGGUCACUUCCUAUUGUACGAAGGGCAACUACGUCAACUAGAUGAGGUGUAUCUUCAGGUCCCUGCCAGAUGGCUGCCUUUGCUCCACAGCCAGCUCUGCUACUGAUUUGCUCAGGUUAUCAACUCCUGAUCUUCUCAAGUGAAAAUGAGCUCAAGUAGCUCUUGACCCCAGCAAUUACUAUUCAAAUGACCCGGUCCACAGGUGUUUGCAUGGAGUAGCUGUGGUCAGAAGAGGAUGUACAGUCAAGCCUUACUGGGAGUUACUCAUGACUAAACUUUCUGGGCUCACAUGCCACAAACCUUUCCUCUUUUUUGAACAACAGUCCAAUUCGCAGUCCAAGAAACCUUUCUUUCAGAAGUUUUAUCAUUAUAAAAUAUAUGAAUCACAAAGAGUUUUGACAAAUUGGCAUUCCUUAAGAAGUGGAAGGUCCUAAACACCUACCUCCAACUCUAACCACCUUUCCUGACUCCUUGGGGUUUUAGGCAAUGCUUCAGAAAGGCAGCUUGAGUGAUCUGCUCUCAUUUCUUUUGAAGGGCUCAAAUGACAAGACCCUGAAUAUGUGACCAGUGAGACACUGGAGUAUUAUGUUUUUCCAUCAAGCUGUGAUGAGUGGCUUGACAUACCAAAUUUCCGUUCCAAGUUCCUGUUUACAUUUAUGUACACUAAUGUUGAAUACAAACCUCUGUGCUGACCUUCUACAAAAUACAAGUAAUAAAUUAUCCAAGCUGUUUUGAAUCAAAUGUAAGAAAACCAAAGUUAAUUGAAAGGGCUUAAGGGUGGAGGGUGGGUGGUAUAGCGGCUUCCUUCUUCUCCAGGGUCCCUGAGGUCUGCCGUGCUGGUUCUCCUGCAGAGUGAUUUCUGUAUUGAGCAAGGCUCAAGUUAUGCUGGCAAGCCUGGCCAGGUUCCCAGGAAAGGUGGAAGGACUUUGUGAGUUUUUCCAGCUUCUGGUUUUGUAUUCAAGGGCUAUAGAAUGGUUUCCUGCUCCUCCCAGGCUUCCUCUGUCCUGGGCUUUUCAUGCCAGGGUGGGCAUAGCGCACCUGCCACUGCAAGUUUAGCAGCCAUCCUGAGCUGACUUUGUUUGCUUGUGCCUUUGGCUGUGAGCAGUAGUCCUGAACUGACCAGGCACUUUUCAGAGGCAUGAGCUGUGUGACUUGGCACCAGAUGAAGGCUGCACCAGAUGAAGGCUAUGCCAGCUGCUCUGCAUGACACACUAAAUAGAAUUUUUCUGCUGUCGAGUAGGAAAGUAUUAUUUACAGGCAUGACCUAAAGCGUCCCCAUUUUAUUUCUCAGGCAUUUUUGACACGCUGCUUCAUGUGCAACUGCAUUUUGUGAAUAAGGGUUUCCAGCGAGUUCCCAUGCUGCAUGUGCAAUCCUAGAUGCAGCGCACUUUUACAGGCUGUUAUUUGCUGUAACAACAGCUGAGGUGAUGACACACUCCAUAAGGCAGUUCUUGCCUCCAAGAUCUACAUAAGGAAAGAGAAUUUAAGAAAGGAUUUUUUAAGGUGAUACUAUGUUCAAAAGCAUGGACCCUCAAAAGGCUUACGAGUGUGAAACAGAACAAAUCCUCCAUAUAACCCUUUUCUGGCUGUGGUAAUGACAGGUGUGUGUUUUGUCUUUAAAUAGCAGAUAAUUUGUCUUUGCUUAUACCCCUAGCAUGAGGAGAAUCUACUCCAUGAUGAGCUUUAGGUAAGUGGAUUUGUUAAACAUUUUUCAAAUAGUCUUUUCCUUUCUUUAGCACUAGAAGAAAUUUGUCUAUGUGGGUACCUGCAUCUCCUGUUGAUCACCAGGUUAAUGGUGUGUCUUUGAGGGGGAAAAAAGAAAAAGACUACUCUUCCUAGGGGAAAUGCAGGGCAGCAGUUAAGGUAAGAGGUGUGGGAAUAUAUGGGCCAUACCUGAAAUGGCAUCAAGAGCUGCAGUGUGCUGGGGAGGCUGGUUACUUGUGAGCCAAAACUCUGAAAUAAUGGGCAGAGGGAAUUGUGGGUCAGAUGCUUAAAUGUCUGCCCGUCCAAGAGGGAGGCAACAGGACUGGAAGUAGCAAAUGUAGCAUGUUAUCCACGUAAGAAGGGAGAAAAUGGUGACCAGACUUGGUCUACCAGGUGACCAGGUAUGUUGUAGCGUGUAAGGCCUCAGAAAAUUUUUUAAGAAAAGAAUUAUUAACAUAUGGAGGCUGAUAAAGCAGAUAGUCAAGUGCAGGUAGGCUGUACUAACCCACAAACUUUUAUUAUUUUAUUUCUAGGCCUGUAGAAUUCUUUAUCUGUGUUCCUGUGAAGCUCUGAGUAUAUUCUCAGAAAGGAAGUAAUUUCUAAAUCUUGAGGAGAGAAUACACCAAGGGUGCUGGAAACUGUUCUACAUGCCUCCUGAAUGGAUUGUACUUAUCGUCUGCUUUAAUCUUCAAAGUGGAAGACCAGCAGUUGAAUCUGCCACACAGUAAAUACUACACCUUUCAGAAAGUGAUGGGACUAAGAACAAGCGACUUUCCAGAGGAAAUAUCAGUAAAAGAGACACAAUUACGUGCUUGAUAGUACAAAUAAAUGGGUUGUAUGAGCUAUUUCUCCUUCCUCACGCUGUCCUUUGCUGUAAUAGUUGCUGUCUUCAUCUCCAUAGUAUCCUGCUACAUAAGAGUGCUUCAUCUUUGCAGGCAAGUACAUGACAUAUCGCAGAUGUGAAAGACAUCCUGCAACUGGUAAUGACCUUUAUGUGGACUAGUGCUAUGAGUAAAAGGGGAGGGAGUUGGGUUGAGUCUCAUGCGCCUGUUUGGUGUGUGCAAUCCCACUGUAGACUCCACUGGAAACCUUGACAGUUAGCUGUGUUCCCAUUUUCCAGGACUUGUACUUCCAUACACUAUUUCUUCAUUCAUGAGAAAUGUCUGUGUGUUUCCCAAGGCACCACAUCUAGAAAGUGAUGCUCGAUUGCCGCCAGGCCCUGGUGUAGCUGUCGGGUUGUGUUAAGCAUCCUCAGAUGAGCAGGGGCAGGUCUGGGGCCGCAGCCUGAGGCAUCGAGCACAGGCGGGCAGCUCCUUCCUACCUGCAUCCCCAGUACCAUUCCUCCCAGCCGGCUGUGGUCCCCAGCGAGUGCCUUGACAGACAGGCUUUCAUCCUGGCACGGUGUGCCCUGUUGUCCUUAAUGCACCCUGGGCUGAAAAAAGUCCUGGUCUGUAUUCCUGAUGCCAAGUUUCAGUGAAAAGAAGAACCGCAAGCAUGGAACAAUGAUAUCUGAUCAAGGGUUUCGGUCUGUGGAAAAGCUAAUACGUAAUAAUUAUUCUGAAAUGUCUGUUUUGAAUAUCUCUGAAUAUCACAAGCUCUAUAUUUCAUUCUCUUAUAUUUUAUUCAAGAAUAUUUUUCACAUAAGGAAGCUCUAUGGACUUUUUUCGAACUCCCACAACAAUGAAACAAAGUGCUCUGUGGUAUCUGGCACGUGAAGACCCUUGCUGUGACUAACAGGGGAGAAGGCUGGUAAGUCAAAUCUUAUUUGCUGUAACCAGUAACAGUUUAUGAGGCCUGCGGAGACCAAGCUGAUAAAUAAAGACCAGGACCAAUCCGAGCAUGGUGUGGGGAUCAAGGACAGCAGGUAACAUAUUUAUAAAUGGGCUAUACAUAAUUUAUUGAAAUUAGCAUAAAGUUACAGUUUUACAACUCUGUAAGUCUUGAGUUACACAUCAGCUGUAACAGAGACACCUCUUUAAAUCUUAAUAUAUGCAAAAUGACACUUGUUACCUUUAGGUUUUAAAAAAAAAAGUCCUUCCAAUACAAUUAAGAAGCAAUUCUUGUCUUCUCGCUGCAUUAAUUUAUGCUUGUUACUUAAACAAAGAAACACUUAACUUUAAAGUAACGGAAGUCUUAGGUUUGUGAUGUUGUAAUGUUUAUUGAUACUGCAACAAUUUUAAUGGAGUGCAUUAACUGAUUAUUAAGACUAUGUUCUCACAAAGUGAUGGAGAUACUUAGCAAGACUCAAAAGCAACAGCUUAAGUAGGUCAUAUUAUGCCAGGAAAGUUAUGCUCGUUGAUAAGCAUAAUAUUUGGGCUUAAGUUUGGAGAGGUUUUAGAGAGCACCCAAACUAUAUAUCCAGAGGUUUUUCAAUCAUCUUUUUUAAAGAGGUAAAACUAUAUUUUCCUGUGCAGAAGAACUGUUCAUAAUCAUUUUAGUAGUUAACGUUAUUCACCUUUUACAGCAAGAAGAUGGUCUCGUGAUGUAGUAUUACCUCUUUGGACUUGAGCUAUCAGCUAUAGUUUGGAUCUGUUUGCUUUAGGUAAAGAAGCUAAUGAUGGAGUCAGUCAUCCUUGUCAAUCCUUGAAAUAUCCUUCUGUAUUUCUAAGAAAUGUUCAAAUUCCUGUUCCAUGAAUGCAGCUUAAGAACAGGACAGAGAAUAUUUUGCUGUGAUUUGAUUUUUAAGGCCCUUUGUUACUUUUUCCUGCCUUUACUGCCUGAAGCAUCUUUCUGCUAGCACUGAGCCCAGAAGUUCAGAGAUUUAUUCAAUACCUUUUAAGUUCUGCUAUGUGUGACACAUACGAAAGGCUGUUAUAUAUUUUCCUUGUAAAGAGACACAACUGCAGUAAAAACACUCCUGUCAGUUUCUAGGUUUUAAGAGAAACAGGCAGGGAAAACCCUGCGUAUUGGCUAAGGCUGAAGGCUGUGACGAAGAGCUUCCUGUCUUGGAUUCCUAUUCAGGUUUAGUGUCUACUACCAUCUUUCUUUGGGAAAGCAAAUAUUGGUCUCGUUACUCCCUUAAUUACCCCUUAUAAAGCCAAAAAUAUUUGUGUAGGAUGAACUGUAACCAAUUAAAAAGCAGCUACUGCCUGCGUGCUUUUGUCCAUAGGAUGUCUUACUUACAUGUAAGUUCUUUUAAGACAAUAGGAACUGUAAUUAUGGCCUGGGUUAGAUUUUAGUUUUCAGUACUUUACAAGAAGCUACGCUGUUAACAGACAGAGACUACCUUCUUAUUCUGGUGAAGUCAUUCAUUACAUGCAUGUUAAAGAUGGGCACUUGAGGUCUAUAGAAAACCCCCGGGAAUAGAAUAAUGUUAAAGAAAAAAAAGCAUUACAUUUCUCCCUGCGUAUCUUAAGGCAGGGGACCAACAUCCAAUUUAUACUGCAAGGAGAGUGGGGAUGGUUCCUGCACAAUGUGCAGUGUCGGGUUGCCAAGAAUAAAAUCCUCCAAAAUCAUUCCACGGUUUUUAUGGGUGACAGUGGGCUUGGAUCAAACCAGUUUAUGUGGCACAGGCAUCACUGGGAGAAGUUGCUGUGACAGGAGAAAAAUUUUCUGAUGUAUGGCACAGAGAGGUCUCCUAAUUGCAAGAUCUCACAGCUAUGCAGCAGAACUGGUUUGCCUGAUGAAGUAAGACGAUUACUGUAGUACUCGAUCCAGAGAGGGCCCUCCUCGCACCUGACUUGACUUGAGAUCCUUUACUGAUUAUUGUGGCAGGAAUGGAAUGGAAUGGAAUGGACUAUUCAGAUGGAAGGGACCUACAACGAUCAUCUGGUCCAACUGGCUGGCCAGUUCAGAGCUGACCAGAUGUUAAAGCAUGUUGUCAAGGGCAUCGUCCAAAUGCCUCUGAAACACUGACAGGCUUGGGGCAUUGCCCACCUCUUUGGGGAGCCUGUUCCAGUGUCUGACCACCUUCUCAGUAAAGAAAUCCUUCCUAAUGUCCAGCCUAAACCUCCCCUUGUGCAGCUUUGAACCACUCCCAUGUGUCCUCUCCCUGGACCCCAGGGAGCAGAGCUCAGCACCUCCCUCUCCGCUUCCCCUCCUCAGCAAGCUGCAGAGAGCAAUGAGAUCACCCCUCAGCCUCCUUUUGUCCAAACCAGAUGAAUCCUGAGUCCUCAGCCACUUCUUAUUUCCAGUUCUUCACCAGCUUUGUUGCCCUCCUCUGGAUGCAUUCAAGGACCUUCAUAUUAGAUGAUAAUAAUGGGUAAUCACCAAUGAACUACAUAUUAAGGAAGGUUACUGUAUUUGAGAUGUAUUAGAUACCAGCUGGUUUGAUUUUGCUGUUACAUUUGCAGAUCUAGUUUAAAGGUCUGUACAGAAUUGGCAUGUAGGAUAAUUAGUUGUAUGGAAAGUAAGUUCAAAGAAAUGGGAUUUAUUCUCUCGCCUUAUGGCAACACAUUGCCUUUAGGUAACUCGCCUAGAGUUGUCCAAAAGCAGUUUCAGGGAUGAAGACUCAGAAAGGAGAUACUGCCAAGCACUUCUCAACAAUAAGUUACAAAUGGUGUCAUUGAUGAAAUAAUCUGUAAUUUUUAAACUAGAGUUUGAGGUGUUGAAUGCUUUAUUUGGAAUGCACAAUUCUAUACAGAAUUGGUGCAUAUAUGGACUUUGAAAGAGUACCGUGUUUGUGCAAGAUUAUUUAUUUUGGCAAAAAUCCUCACUUUAAAUCACUCUCAAACCCAUCUUUUAGGCAGAAGUCAUUUGGAUAGAAGACAAAUAAGCGUGGCUCUUGUACCUAUGCAGUGGCUCCAUAGGCAGCACGUGGAGGCCAGCAGGCUGUACAACACAGGUGCAGAAGAAUUGCACAGGUUUGAAAUGUGAGAUGAGUCUUUUCUUCAGUGUAAACAUGCUCAGCUGGCUGCCAGUAAUUAUACUUGCUCGUCCUGCUACCGGCAACACCACGUCCAGUGUCAGCCAAGGGUUAACAAAUUGUGUAGGAAGAAAACAAUGGAUUUCUUAAAAAAGAAAUCUUUGAACUGUCUGUGAAUAAUAAAGGAGUGAACAAUGUCUACUUUCCUAAAGCACUUUGAGAUCUGUAAAUUAAGGUUUACAUAAGAGUGUAAAUAUUAUUAUUUAUUUAAGAGCUCUCACAUUACCCUUCACCACUUCUCUUCUUCCUCUUCCUCCUUACUUGUUUGUUUGGAAGAUGCUAUUUGCAUUCAUGUAUAUGUGUCCAAAGUGGGAGGCAAUGAGAGGAUGUGGCAUGUAGGAUUGGUAAAAGGAACAGGAGCAGGGAGGAGAGGGGAUGAGGGGUGUGGGCAAGGUGAGGGGAGAGGCUAUAAAAAGAGUAAGGAAAGGUUAGCAAGAGGGGAAUAAUAUUGGAUUUCUUUUGUAAUUAAAAAUUUCUUACCUUAAAGCAUCAGCAGAUCUUUGUUUUGGGGUUGGGGUUUUUUUUAAUGGACAUUUCUUAAACCUUUUAGUUAAAUUUUCAAGACAAAUAAUAAAAGUUUACAGCAGCUAUGGUAAGGAAAACUUUUAAAAUUUAUUGGGGCUUUAGUUGUCAAAGCAUGUGAUAUGAUUCAUAUUUUUAGCAUUCUGGCUGAAAUAAAAUUCAGACUACUGCUGGGGCUAUUUUUUCACGUGCCGUGUUUUAGUCUGCACCUCUUUCCCUGCCAUCAUGCCUCCCCUGGGACAAAGUGGGAAGCACUCACCAUCAUACUGCAGGGCUGUGCGGAGCGCCCACCGCUCUGAACCCACAGUCCCCCGUGCCUGUACUGCAGGCUCUGGGUGAGCAGUCCCUUAUGUUUUGGUAAAUGUUGAGAAUGGGUACUGGUAUACGUUAGUAGCAAGACAUCAACUAAAUAGGAAGUUAAAAGAAAAUACUGCAGGAAGAGUAAAAACAAUUGUAAUGUGUGACUUGAACUGAAACCAUAGCUGUCAUGGGAGGAUGUGAACAAAAUAACCCCGCUCACUUGUAUCCCAAGGAUGCAUUUGUACUGGCAAAAACAUUUGGGGCAUGGUUGUAAUAGAAUACACUGGUUUUAUAGUGAAGGGGCUGCUCAAUUUUUAUAACACCGAAACAGAUCCCUUUUUCCUUUCAAACACAUCUGUCUAAAAUUGUUGGACAUGGUAUUCUUUCAUAAAAACUGUCCUUCCUGUAUUGAAAUAGUUCUUUUUGUGUUGGAAAGCCUUUCCUGUAGUUUUUCUCUCUGUGAUUCCUUCACAUUUUAUUUCCCCCUCCUGUUCCUGGCACUGGCUCUGUUGAAUGUUGUCUCUUUAUGACUUACUUCCAGAGCUGAGUAGCGAAGAAUGUUAACUACCAUAACUCCAUUCAUUUUUUUGCAUAUCACUUAUGGAAGAUGAAAUGCACAGUGUUGUAAUACAGAACCUUGUGAUAGGAUUCUGGUUCUUUAGACAUUAAAUGAAGUGUUUUCUAAUUGCUGUCAAAGUAGUCUUAGGAGUUCUUUACUAUUCCCAACUAUAGCAGAAAUAAUGGGCAAAAAAUUGUUCUGAGGAUGCAUUGCAACCAUACUCACCUAAAGCAGAAGAGUGCAGGGUAGCUAAAAGCAGACAACUUCCUGGUAGGUACUGAAGCUUCAAAGACAAAUUUAUAGUUCUUAAUGGAAAAUAAAUUAAUUAGUCAACAACAAAGUUGUAGCAUUUCCAUUGUGUUCCAAAAUCAAAGCAUCCUAUAUAAUGGCUGGUUCAGAGUCUGCCUCAAAUAUUAAUCCUUAGUAAAUACCCAGAUGUACAUCAAUAUGAAUUUAAUAUUCACAAAAUGUAUCUGACUGGGCGUUUUCAUUAAUAAAAUUAAUUGCUGAAGUGUUUACAUGCAGAAUACUUUCGAGACAAUAGAGAAAGCCAGGGCUUAAAUUCUUCCAGGUAACAGCACAAAGGGAGGAGGUGUUCUUGAGCUGAGUAUGGGUAAGUCCUCAACUAAAUAGUCGUUCUGGCUGUAAUUCAUACAGAAAUCAGCACUGGUCUCCCUCAGUAAUGAUCAGGGCUGUGUGUUUUACAUAUCUGAAAGAAGAAAGGCAAAUUUAUAUUAAUGCUUGCUCCCAAAUAUAGGCAACUAGAUUGAUUCUAGUUUCUGAACAGGUUAAAAGAGACAAUGUUGUGUCCGAAUGGUGGAAACAAUACCAAUUCUUUUCAGAGCUAUGUAGCUGUUGUCUAGAGUCCCAACAUCUUGAAUGUACAGGAAAUGUUCAGCUGUGCAUUCUUUGGAUUUGUGGAACAUUGCAAAUUAAAUUAAACUGUAAGAGAGACAGUUUCUCUCCUAAUGUUAGCAGAGGGUCUUGCUCAUGCAUGCUGUCUUUUGAAGCUGUGUCUACUGAAAGAGCAAACCUCAUCAUGUGAAUAUUAUUAUAUUAGUGAAUAUAUAUCUUGGGCUGCUCUGAUACCUUUGCCGAAUGGAUGACCAUUUCUUUUACCUGCCUGUAAUUAUUUUUAUUUUAGUUGUGAUUUAGGUGAGCUUGGUUUA